AUUUGGGUAGCUUAAUUAAAAAGUUUAACACUGAAAAUGUUAAGAUGAAAAAUUUUCCUUGAAUG
rnacentral:tRNA from 1 species